AUUGAACGCUGGCGGCAGGCCUAACACAUGCAAGUCGAACGAGUGGCGGACGGGUGAGUAAUGUCUGGGAAACUGCCUGAUGGAGGGGGAUAACUACUGGAAACGGUAGCUAAUACCGCAUACCAUCGGAUGUGCCCAGAUGGGAUUAGCUAGUAGGUUGGGUAACGGCUCACAUAGGCGACGCUCCCUAGCUGGUCUGAGAGGAUGACCAGCCAACCAGGAUCUGAGACACGGUCCAGACUCUUACGUGAGGCAGCAGUGGGGAAUAUUGCACAAUGGGCGAAAGCCUGAUCCAGCCAUGCCGCGUGUGUGAAGAAGGUCCUCGGAUUGUAAAGCACUUUAAGUUGGGAGGCGUUACCAACAGAAUAAGCACCGGCUAACUUCGUGCCAGCAGCCGCGGUAAUUC
rnacentral:rRNA from 1 species